UCCGACGUCGCCCAAUCGGCAGGGCAACGGCCUGUUAAGCCGUCCGGUGAUGGUUCGAGUCCAUCCGUCGGAG
rnacentral:tRNA from 1 species